rnacentral:sRNA from 1 species
AUAUUUUUUAAACUAAAGUAUUAUUAAAACAAAAAUAACAAAAUAAUGUCUAAUUUUACUGAACGGGGUUAGUGGUAGGACGGGUUUGGUCGAUAGUAUUACGAGACGGUAUACCACAAGUGAAAUCUAUUAGAUAUGUUUAAUUUCAAUGUGCAGGAUUAGAUGGUAUGACGAGUUUUGAUCGAUAAUAAUACGAAACGAUAUACUACGGAUGAAAUCCUAGAUAUAACAACUAAAAUCUAUAUAUACAUUAUCUUAAACACUAAACAAAGCAAACAAUAUUAAUAAAACAAAUAUUUACAUAUACAUUUUAUAUAACAAAUUUUAUUAAAAACCUAGCCCCGCGGUAUACCGCGAGUCAAAAUCUAGUUCUAUAUAUACAGUAGUAGGGCACUAAUCCGAUCUUUAACUCAU